UUCGAUUAAGGCCUACCAAGGCUACGAUCUGUAGCGGGUCUGAGAGGAUGAUCCGCCACACUGGAACUGAGACACGGUCCAGACUCCUACGGGAGGCAGCAGUGGGGAAUUUUGGACAAUGGGGGCAACCCUGAUCCAGCCAUGCCGCGUGAGUGAAGAAGGCCUUCGGGUUGUAAAGCUCUUUCGGCCGGGAAGAAAUCGCAUAGGCUAAUACCCUGUGUGGAUGACGGUACCGGAAUAAGAAGCACCGGCUAACUACGUGCCAGCAGCCGCGGUAAUACGUAGGGUGCGAGCGUUAAUCGGAAUUACUGGGCGUAAAGCGUGCGCAGGCGGUUUAGUAAGACAGGCGUGAAAUCCCCGGGCUCAACCUGGGAACUGCGCUUGUGACUGCUAAGCUAGAGUACGGCAGAGGGGGGUGGAAUUCCACGUGUAGCAGUGAAAUGCGUAGAGAUGUGGAGGAACACCGAUGGCGAAGGCAGCCCCCUGGGCCGAUACUGACGCUCAUGCACGAAAGCGUGGGUAGCAAACAGGAUUAGAUACCCUGGUAGUCCACGCCCUAAACGAUGUCAACUAGGUGUUGGGAGGGUAAAACCAUUUAGUACCGGAGCUAACGCGUGAA
rnacentral:rRNA from 1 species